UACGUAGGGGGGCAAGCGUUGUCCGGAAUUAUUGGGCGUAAAGAGCGUGUAGGCGGCCAGAUAAGUCCGCUGUGAAAUCUCGAGGCUCAACUUCGAGCUGUCGGUGGAAACUAUCUGGCUAGAGUCCGGAAGAGGAGAAUGGAAUUCCUGGUGUAGCGGUGAAAUGCGUAGAUAUCUGGAGGAACACCGGUGGCGAAGGCGGCAUCCUGGACCGGUAUUGACGCUGAGGCGCGAAAGCCAGGGGAGCAAACGGG
rnacentral:rRNA from 1 species